GACUUUUUAUUAUUUUUGUUUUUGUUGUAUGUUUAUUUCUCUUGGGCCGAACGAAACUGGGCUGCGAAAGAGAUCCCUGUAGCUUCAUCUUGCUCCAUUGCAACUUUAAGGGUAUAGGAUUUGUAGCUUCAUCUUGCUCCAUUACAACUUCAGGAAGAUAAGAUUCACUAUUGUAGCUUCAAUCCAACCCACUAAAACUUUA
rnacentral:lncRNA from 1 species